GAUGAACGCUGGCGGCGUGCUUAACACAUGCAAGUCGAACGAUGAAGCCCAGCUUGCUGGGUGGAUUAGUGGCGAACGGGUGAGUAACACGGGAGUAACCUGCCCUUAACUCUGGGAUAAGCCUGGGAAACUGGGUCUAAUACCGGAUAGGAGCGUCCACCGCCGGGUGGGUGUUGGAAAGAUUUAUCGGUUUUGGAUGGACUCGCGGCCUUUCCGCUUUUUGGUGGGGUAAUGGCUCACCAAGGCGACGACGGGUAGCCGGCCUGAGAGGGUGACCGGCCACACUGGGACUGAGGCACGGCCCAGACUCCUACGGGAGGCAGCAGUGGGGAGUAUUGCACAAUGGGAGCAAGCCUGAUGCAGAGACGCCGCGUGAGGGAUGACGGCCUUCGGGUUGUAAACCUCUUUCAGUAGGGAAGAAGCGAAAGUGACGGUACCUGAAGAAGAAGCACCGGCUAACUACGUG
rnacentral:rRNA from 1 species